rnacentral:rRNA from 1 species
UACAGAGGUCUCAAGCGUUGUUCGGAUUCAUUGGGCGUAAAGGGUGCGUAGGUGGCUUGGUAAGUUCGAUGUGAAAUCUCCGGGCUUAACCCGGAAAUGGCAUUGAAUACUAUUGAGCUGGAGGUUUGGAGGGGGGACUGGAAUUCUCGGUGUAGCAGUGAAAUGCGUAGAUAUCGAGAGGAACACCAGUGGCGAAGGCGAGUCCCUGGACAACACCUGACACUGAGGCACGAAAGCUAGGGGAGCAAACAGG